CAACAAUCUAAAUGGAUCAAUUCCAUCCUAAUUUUCUAAUCUUCCACGUCUCCAGACAUUGUAAGUUGCCUUUUGUUUUAUCCUUUCCUUCCAGCAUUUGGUAGAACAAUAUUUCAAAUCCUGGUAAAAGACUGCUUCAGUAAGAUCUCUAUAGCGUUUCUCUUCUAGCUAGAGGUGUAUAUUUUUUAGUGCGUAUGAGUAAUGAUUGGCUGUUUUUAUUGAGCAAUAUGCAGUAUAGCAUAAGGGCAACCUUAACAUUGAUGUUCAUACAUCUAAAGAAUUGUUUGUCAAGGAUGAGUCCUUCAGGUUUGUCGAAAUGUUCAGAUAGUGCAGUUGAACCGACACUGACCCCAAUUUCGAUUCCCAAGAGCAGUGACAAUGCAUUAGACUUGACUUUUAGUCGGAUGGUUUUUUCGGUUGCGUCAUUGCAAAAGAGAUCAAUUACAACGUCAGAAAGAAGAAGAGAUGCUAAAAAUUGAUUUCGAUAGAGACAAAAUGGGCAGAAGAAUGGGAAUGAAGAAUGGGCAGAAUAUUACAUUCCCGGGUGAAGCUGAUGAAGUGCCGAGUACAGUUACUAGAGAUAUCGUAUUUGUGCUUCAACAGAAGGAGCAUCCCAAGUUUAGAAGAAGUGGUGAAGAUCUUUUAAGUAGAGCUGUGAAUUUGUUUUCCCCGAUGAUGGUUGCUCAG